ACAAACAGCUCCUCCAAAAGACCGACCCAGAAUGUAGAAAAUGUGAUCCCCUUCACGCCUCAUGCCUACAGAAUCAAUGCAAAACUAAGUCUUCUAGAAAUUGGAACAGGUAAGAUUAGGUUGCACCCAAUUCAGCUCCCAUCCAAUGCAAUUUUCAUGCUGAAACCAUAUAACUGAAUCAUUCCAAAUCCUCAAAAGCCAAUAAAAUAAGGGGAAAAAAUAAAAUAAUAGUAAUUUUAAAGGGCUUUAGGUUAUGAGUCGGAUACCAUUGUUGUUGACCGACAUUAAGUGGCCCGAGUCAUAUAUUGAGGAAAACAGUUGACUACAUUAGGGUGUGUUUUGAGUUUUCUCCCAGUCCGCUCAGUUUCUAAUUCAGUACCAUCUUCACUGCACUGCACUAAUGGUCGUUCUUCCAGACAAACUCAUUGAGCAAGUCUUAUCCUGGCUUUCGGUGAAACAUCUCACGCGACUCAAGUGCGUAUGCAAAUCCUGGAACACCAUCCGAUCCUUUCCAAUUCUACCUUCAUCAAAUUGCACUUUCGAAGAUCCGCAACAGGAAACCCACACCUCUUGGUAAUGUUUGAUUCGGAUGUCCCCUAAGGCUACCGUGGCCAUGAUCGCACUAUCGUACACUUCCCCAUCAGCUGCUUAAUUCACAACCCGUCGAUGUCACUUCCCCAUGACCGUCGUCGCCAAUGGUUGAAGAGUGAUCCUUGGUUGACCCGCUACUUCACCGUCGUCGGUUCCUGCAACGGCUUGGUGUGUUUGCACGGUUAUUCCCUGGGGAAAAUAAGACUCGAAACGACUGGCUUCGUUUCUGGAAUCCGGCCACCGGGUUAUUAACUGGAAAACUAGGCUCUCAUUGUAUUACAGCCAUAUAUUACAAGUUUACCUUUGGUUAUGAUAAUUCAACCAAUACUUUCAAGGUUGUGUUUUUUGAUUUA